AUUGAACGCUGGCGGCAGGCCUAACACAUGCAAGUCGAGCGGAUGACGGGAGCUUGCUCCUUGAUUCAGCGGCGGACGGGUGAGUAAUGCCUAGGAAUCUGCCUGGUAGUGGGGGACAACGUUUCGAAAGGAACGCUAAUACCGCAUACGUCCUACGGGAGAAAGCAGGGGACCUUCGGGCCUUGCGCUAUCAGAUGAGCCUAGGUCGGAUUAGCUAGUUGGUGAGGUAAUGGCUCACCAAGGCGACGAUCCGUAACUGGUCUGAGAGGAUGAUCAGUCACACUGGAACUGAGACACGGUCCAGACUCCUACGGGAGGCAGCAGUGGGGAAUAUUGGACAAUGGGCGAAAGCCUGAUCCAGCCAUGCCGCGUGUGUGAAGAAGGUCUUCGGAUUGUAAAGCACUUUAAGUUGGGAGGAAGGGCAGUAAGCGAAUACCUUGCUGUUUUGACGUUACCGACAGAAUAAGCACCGGCUAACUCUGUGCCAGCAGCCGCCGUAAAAC
rnacentral:rRNA from 1 species